GAAAUUAAACCCCCCCCAAAAAAAAGAAAAAAAGAAAAAAGAAAAAGAAAAAGAAAAAAAAACGCACGUAUGUCUUUUGCUUGCC
rnacentral:ribozyme from 18 species